rnacentral:rRNA from 1 species
UACAGAGGUCUCAAGCGUUGUUCGGAUUCAUUGGGCGUAAAGGGUGUGUAGGUGGCGCCGUAAGUCGGGUGUGAAAUCCCCGGGCUCAACCCGGGAACUGCGUCCGAUACUGGGAGGCUUGAAUCCGGGAGAGGGAUGUGGAAUUCCAGGUGUAGCGGUGAAAUGCGUAGAUAUCUGGAGGAACACCGGUGGCGAAGGCGGCAUCCUGGACCGGUAUUGACGCUGAGGCGCGAAAGCCAGGGGAGCAAACGGG